rnacentral:lncRNA from 1 species
AAUGAAUGAAUCUUAUUAUAUCAUCAUCUUCCCCUGUUAAUUUCUUUCAUCCACCAAUUAUCACUCUACACAAAAAUGGCUACAAUUACAUCCAUAAUUCUCUUCACCUUGUUGACACUCUUUUUCAUAUUGGCAUGGAGGAUUUUGAAUUGGUUAUGGUUGAAGCCAAAGAAGCUAGAGAAAUUCCUAAGAGAACAAGGACUAAAAGGGAAUUCAUAUAGGCUUUUAGUUGGAGACAUGAAUGAUCUUCUUAAGAUGAGAAAGGAAGCAACAUCUAANNNNNNNNNNNNNNNNNNNNNNNNNNNNNNNNNNNNNNNNNNNNNNNNNNNNNNNNNNNNNNNNNNNNNNNNNNNNNNNNNNNNNNNNNNNNNNNNNNNNNNNNNNNNNNNNNNNNNNNNNNNNNNNNNNNNNNNNNNNNNNNNNNNNNNNNNNNNNNNNNNNNNNNNNNNNNNNNNNNNNNNNNNNNNNNNNNNNNNNNNNNNNNNNNNNNNNNNNNNNNNNNNNNNNNNNNNNNNNNNNNNNNNNNNNNNNNNNNNNNNNNNNNNNNNNNNNNNNNNNNNNNNNNNNNNNNNNNNNNNNNNNNNNNNNNNNNNNNNNNNNNNNNNNNNNNNNNNNNNNNNNNNNNNNNNNNNNNNNNNNNNNNNNNNNNNNNNNNNNNNNNNNNNNNNNNNNNNNNNNNNNNNNNNNNNNNNNNNNNNNNNNNNNNNNNNNNNNNNNNNNNNNNNNNNNNNNNNNNNNNNNNNNNNNNNNNNNNNNNNNNNNNNNNNNNNNNNNNNNNNNNNNNNNNNNNGCCUUGGCUUGGCUUGGCAUGGGCAGGGGAAGGUCUAGUCCAGGCCGCGAAAAAAAAAUCCAAACCGGUAUGACCUUAAUAAUACGGGUGCGCAGGCGCGCGCGAGGAAUUUCCGCCCCCCGACGUGGUUUGGCCCGAGCACGUGCUCCCCGCGAGAUUUGGCCUACCACAAAAAUUUCGACAACGCGGGCGCGCGCUGGAGAUUUUUGCCUACGAAGGGCAACUCAGUAAAAGUAUCACUCUCUUUCUUUCAUCGUUACACUUUUCUUAAUCUGUGUGAAAUGGUCAAAUAGGUCACUUAUUCAGCGACGGAGGGAGUAUAUUUUAUGAUUGUUACUUUUUUCAUAAACACUGAUGAGUGUAAAAUGAAACAUGGUCUGAGAAUGUGUUUAUAGGUCAAGACAAUCAUCAUCUCACAAGUUAGUUUUGUAAUGAUGAGUCAAACCUAAUUUCAAAGUGGUAUUAGAGUCUAUUGAUUUGGGCCACCCACUAUUUAUACACAAAUCAAGCCCAACAAUGUUUAACAUGAGGUCCAUCUUCACCUCAAAUGCCGGUUUUUUGGAAUUGUGUUAGGUCUGAUCACAAUUUAUAAAAUGGUAUGAGAGCCUUCUCCAAAUUCAAUUGAACUACGUGCUAGCAGGUUUCCGCUAUAUUACAAAUUGCAUUGCAUUCAACCAUCUACUAAUUAACAAGCAUCCUAAUUCCCAGCUGACUUCCUAGUACUGUAUCAGCUUCGACAACAAAAAAUAUUAGGGAUGGAUCAUGAACCAAAUUUUUUUAUAAGGCCAAUAAUUUCCUCUUAAAUUGAUAGCAUGUUUUUAUAGAAUAGUUUUCUUAUCCAAUUUAAGUAGCAUAUUGCUUUGGAAUGAACAACAUAUAUUUAUGGUUUAUCAAACUUUGAUAUUAAUCAUUAACAUUCUGGUCACUGAUCUUGCUGGCCAGUAGGCGGCUCAAAACAUUACAACAUUGCUAUUCCUUCCAAUAUGUUACUAUUCUGCUUCAGAAUGAUAUGAUUUCCUUGUUUAUUCAUGAGGUGUCGGUUCAGUGAAAGAGUUUGAUCCUGCGGUCUAUGGCUUCGCUCCGGCGGGUAUCACUUCACAAAUUGGCUAUGGCAUUCAUUAAAAAAUCCGCCACACCAUUUGGCCAUGGCCUGCAUUUAACAACACUCUUCCCUUUACAAUACUAUCCCGCACCAUAUUCACUUUGGUGAUUUUUUAAAUUGGCAUUAAUACCAAAAGUUAUGUAUUCAAAGAUUGUGAAAGAAAAUAGUACAUUAUAAUAAAUUCCUUAUUCUCAUCAGUUCCUGAUGUUUAUAUACUUUUUUCAUAUCUUCGGCAUGCAGGAAAGAACUCUUUUAUCUGGUUUGGACCAACACCACGGGUAAACUUAACAGAUCCUGAGCUAAUUAGAGAUGUAUUUAACAAAAUGUACGACUUCCAAAAGCCUAUUGCGAAUCCGCUUGGAAAGUUACUAGCUAAUGGUCUUAUAAGUCAUGAGGGAGAACAGUGGAGCAAGCACAGAAAGAUUAUCAACCCUGCAUUCCAUUUAGAAAAAUUGAAGGAAAGUUUCCCUUUACUUGAUAUAGAAUCCAAUUGUGUUUAUCUAGGCCGCAACAUAUAACUUUUCAAGCAUCACAAUUAGGUUUAUAAGAAAACAUGAUUUGAAUUCUUAAUGCACAUGUGCUUAGUUUAACACCUCUUUGUCUCUUACAAACAGAUCAUGUUACCAAUAUACCUCAAAAGUUGCGAUGAUCUGAUUAGCAAAUGGGAGAAAAUGUUGGCUUCAGAUGGAUCAUGUGAAAUGGACGUAUGGCCUUUCCUUCAAAAUUUGGCGAGUGAUGUUAUUUCUCGAGCUGCAUUUGGAAGUAGUUAUGAAGAGGGAAAAAGAAUAUUUCAACUUCAAACCGAACAAGCCAAACUUACAAUGUCAGUUAUGACGAAAGUUUACAUCCCUGGAUGGAGGUAAGAUUAAUAUUUAUAUCACAAGUUGAAUUCGAAAAUGCUAUAUUUUGGAUAAAACUAAGCACUAGAUUCUAGUGAUACAGUAAAUGGAGAUUUGGCUCCUCUAAAAUUAAGUUAAAAUAAAGUAAGAAGACCAGAAUAAAAUAUUUCAACGCAUGUCACAUGGUUUGUUAUACUUGUGCUUGUAAUAACAACCAUUGAUUUAUUAAUCAAUGGUUUAUAGUAUUGUAUACUCUAAAGUGAGUUGUUCACUUUGGAGGAGUAAGAUCAAGGAAAUAGCAUUCCCUUCAGAUCAUUUGAAUUACAUACCAAUUAUGUUUAUUUUGAAGGUUUCUACCAACUACUACACAUAGGAGAAUGAAAGAAAUUGACCGAGACGUUAAAGCGUCGCUUACAGAUAUGAUUAACAAGAGAGAAAGAGCACUAAAGGCAGGUGAAGCCACUAAGGAUGACUUAUUAGGUAUACUUUUAGAGUCAAAUCACAAAGAAAUGGAAGAACACGGCAACAAUAAGAAUGUUGGAAUGAGUCUUGAUGAUGUAAUAGAGGAAUGCAAGCUCUUCUACUUUGCAGGCCAAGAGACCACUUCUGUUUUGCUUGUUUGGACAAUGGUGUUGUUGAGUAGGUACCCUGAUUGGCAAGAACGUGCAAGGGAAGAAGUAUUACAAGUUUUUGGCAACAAUAAACCUGACUUUGACGGGCUAAGUCAUCUUAAGAUCGUAAGUAUUAUGUACUUCCCUUCAUGUUAAACAAUAUAUGCCGUCAUACUUAACAUUGAUGUAACUCUUUUUGAUACAGGUCACUAUGAUUUUGUACGAGGUUCUUAGGUUAUACCCACCAGCAAUCGCGCUUGCUCGAAGUGUUCACAAAGAUGUGAUACUUGGAAACCUAGCAUUGCCAGCCGGAGUGCAGGUUUUCUUAUCGAUAAUUUUGGUUCACCAUGACAUAGAACUAUGGGGUGAUGAUGCUAAGGUGUUCAAUCCCGAGAGAUUUUCAGAAGGUGUUUUAAAAGCAACAAAUGGAAGAAAUUCAUUUUUUCCAUUUGGAGGGGGUCCUAGAAUUUGCAUUGGACAAAACUUUUCUAUGUUGGAAGCAAAGAUGGCAAUAGCAAUGAUUUUACAACGUUUCGACUUCGAACUUUCUCCAAGUUAUGCUCAUGCCCCGGCCACAGUAAUUACGCUUCAGCCACAAUAUGGUGCUCAUAUAAUUCUACGUAAAGUGGAAUUGUAAAAUUUAUAAUUUGCUUAUUCCACUAUUAGAAUGAUUGCAAUUAUUGAAAUAUAUAUCGUUUCCUUUUAUUAUUAUUCUUCUUUGAUGGUUGUUUAUUUUUCAUUAUGUCACCUUAAAUUAAGUUGUUGAUUAGUUGUAUUCUCUCCUAUAAAAGGAGCACCAUUCUUAUUGAAUAAAAUACUUUGAAGAAUAUAGAGUAAUUUCUACAUGGUAUUAGAGCCCCCGAUUUCGGGGGUCUUGCUUCCCGCAUAAACCCUAGCCGCCAUUAAUACGACAUCUUUUUUUUUUUUUUUUUUUUUUGGUUUUUGAUAUCCAGCAACACUGUUCAUCGAUACCGGCACUGUUCAUACGAGGUACUGUUCACGUCAUACUUUUUUUUUAUCAAAGCUAGAAAAAUUAAAUUGUAAAACAGAAGAUGCCUGAAUCGUUUACAACAAAAACUGGCCAACUAUGACCAUACUCAACUAAAACAAAUCUCAAUUAAAACAACAUAUAUGUAUAGAAGCAAAUCAACUGGCUAGACUAAGCUGCCAAAGUCCAAACAACUAGCUACUUGCACAUAUUAAGAAGCAUAUUUUGGAUUGUUUUUUAUUACACCCUUUUUGGAACGAGUUUGGAUGUGCUCACUACUUGUGAUGCCAUCCGAGCCUUUGCCUCUUGCAGAGCUGCUACUCUUUCUUGAUAUCCUGCUGGACUUAGGUUAGUGAAUAGCAUCUGGUUGUGCCAUCAAGAACUUCAGAGCCACAGGGUGCAUAUUCAUCAUUUCAGUGUCAGUGUCAAGGUCCAUAGUGCCAUCUGUCGUGUGGUCAGAAUCCACCACGUCCCUCCAAAAUUUGCUAAGAAUUUGGGCACUUUUCUUGGCUACAGUAGAAACAUUUUUAGAGCCACCAAUAGCAUGAAACCAAUAAAUCAACAUUCUCGAGUUCAACAUUUAAUGCCUCCUCUGGAACCUCAACAUUAUCUGUUGUUAACAAGGCAAAAGAGUUUUGCAAUUCGACCUCCGAAUCAGACUUAUAGGCAGGUUCUGACGGAUCAGAGGAGUGUAUAACAGGAACAAUGAUGCUAUGAACAGAAGAAGAUUGCAAUUCAAUAGGAAAAGUUUCAGCCAAAACAGGACGAGAUUGCUCUCGAUUAAACUCUACAACUUCAGAACGGAUGCCAACACCCACAUUCUGAGGUUGUGCAUUCUGCUUAUGUUGCAUCCAAGACGAAGAAUCAGCGCCUGGGAAUGAAUGCUUCUUACUGAUCAACUCUGCGCCAAUUCCUUGAAAAUUGGAACCAUGCUUUUUUUUUAUAACCCUGAAGAAAAUCCCGAUUCUUUUUUAUAAAAAAAAAAAAUAAUAAUUUUUUUUACCACAUGUGACGUGGCAUGACACGUGAUAGUGUCACGUAGACAGUCAAAUGUCACGUCAUGUUGACUAACAGAAGAAUUUGACGGAGGAGAUAAAUUGAUUAAUGUUAUACAAUUUAAAAUGAUAAUUGAAGUUUUGUUAAUGUUACGGAGGUAAUUGACGAAGCUUACAAUUUCAGAAAUUAAUUGUCUAUUUACUCUAGUAAGUAGUCUUAAAAGGACAAAUUCUUAUACACCCACCAAUAAAGAUAAGUAGAGUAGACUGUACUAAAUUGAUAUCAAUCAAAAUCAUUCAUUUAUCUUAUAAUACUGUAAUACUAUUUUUGUUGAUGAUAUAACAUCAAAUGUUUGAAAACUUAGUGUCCCACGACCAUAGAACCAACCACUUAAUAUACAAUCUCAAACAUUCAAUAUUAUGAAAGAUGCUUUAAGAAAAUCCAAAAAGAAUAAGCCAUUCCAAUAUGACUAAAUAAUUGGAAUAAAUUAUUCCGCAAUAGUGGCCUUAUAACAUAACUCAUUUGAUUGAGAUAUUGUAUUGUACUAUGUAAAAGUCGGAAUUUUACCCAUGAAAUCUUCGAUUAUUGACGGUGGAUUCUAAGUUUCUAACCAAUAAAAAAUAAUUCUGCGGCCGACUAAUUUUAAAAGAAAUCCAAAAAAAGUAUGUUAUUAGAUAAUUGUCUUUAUCUUAAAUAAAUGCAAAACCGACAAAAAGUCAUCAAUGACAUAUGGUGUGGACUUUGGACUGUAUUCAGUGCAGAACAACCAAAUUAAUUGAUCUUAUUGUAUUAAUCAUCUUCCCCUACUAAUUUCUUUCAUCCACCAAUUAUCACUCUACACAAAAAUGGCUACAAUUACAUCCAUAAUUCUCUUCACCUUGUUGACACUCUUUUUCAUAUUGGNUAAUUUCUUUCAUCCACCAAUUAUCACUCUACACAAAAAUGGCUACAAUUACAUCCAUAAUUCUCUUCACCUUGUUGACACUCUUUUUCAUAUUGGCAUGGAGGAUUUUGAAUUGGUUAUGGUUGAAGCCAAAGAAGCUAGAGAAAUUCCUAAGAGAACAAGGACUAAAAGGGAAUUCAUAUAGGCUUUUAGUUGGAGACAUGAAUGAUCUUCUUAAGAUGAGAAAGGAAGCAACAUCUAAACCUAUGAAUCUUUCUGAUGAUAUUGUUCCUCGUGUGUUUUCCUUUGUCCAACAAAGUGUUGCAAAACAUGGUAUGUCUCUCUUCUUACUCCUCUUUUUAAUUUCUAGUUUUACUAUAUUUAUAUAAUGAAGAAUAACAAUAAAGUACUAGUUUAGUUUCCCUCAACUAUACUAGUUAGUAAUAAAAAAAUCAAUUUGUAAAAUUCUAUAAAAAUAAUAGAAUUUUUUUUUUUUUUAGAUUAACAGUGAGGAGUGUAAAGUGAGGGAAGGUCUGACAAUAUUUUUACUUAAGUACAGACAAUCUCCAUCUCAUAAACCAACUUUGUAAGGAUGAUUUAAACUCAAUUUUAAAAUGGUAUUAGAGUCUAUGGAUUCGGGACACCCAACAUUUAUACACAAACCAAGCCCAAAAGUGAUGGAAGUGAGGGGUGUGUUGGGAAAAACUUAAAUCCCACAUUGAAAAGAUAAGAAUUAUGAUAAGAGUUUAUAAAAAGAGGCACCCCUCACCUUACAAGCCAGUUUAUAAGGUUGAGUUAGGGUCAAUAUCAAAAUAUAAAAUGGCAUUAGAGUUUCAAAAUCUAACAUGGUAUCAUAGUUUAUCAAUUCGCGCCACCCACCAUUUAUACACGCACCAAACCGAAUAGUGUUGUGUCGGGGCCAACCACAAUUUCUAACAUGGCAUCAGAGCCUCCAAAAGGUUUCCGCCAUCAAAUUACAAAUUGCAUUGCAUUCAACUAUCUACUAGUUGACAACCAUCCUAUUUCCUAAUUGACUUCCCUGUUAUUUCCAACUGAGUAAUUUUGUUGGUUACUCUCAUUGUAAUUCUCUGUAUCAGCUUCCACCACUUAAAGUUAAGGAGUGGAUCAAGAACCAAAUUUUUUGAUUAAAGCCAAUAUAAAUACCAACACAUAAAUUGCACUUACUGACUGAUACUAAACUGACAUUAUCAGGAUAUAAUUUCCUCUUAAAUUGAUAGCAUGUUUUUAUAAAAUAGUAUUCUGAUCCAAAUUUACUCCCUCCGGUCACAUUUAUAAGCAAAAAACAACUUUUUAGGUUCAUUCAAUAAUUAAUGUAUCUGACCUUUAUAUAGACUAGAUACAUUAGUUAUUCAAUAAACCUAAACAAUUUUUUUUGCUUAUAAAUGUGACCAGAAAGAAUGUAGUUAAUACUUAUUUCUUUGAAAUGAAUGACAUCGGUUUAUCAAACUUUGAUGUUAAUCAUUAAGAUUCAUAGUCUUCAUGAUUGUGAUUUUGAUCACUGAUCAUGCUGGGCAGUAGGCUCAAAACAUUACAACAUUGCUAUUCCUUCCAAUAUGUUACUAGCCUGAAUUAAAAUGAUAUUACUUCCUUGUUUGUUCAUGAGGUGUCAGUUCAGUGAAAAGAGUUUGAUUAUGUGGUCUAUUGCUUCGCUAUGGCGGGUUAUGACUUCACAAAUUGGCUAUGGCAUUCAUAAAAAAACCAGCCACACCAUUUGGCCAUCGCCGCCAUUUAACAACACUGUAUGUUUUACAAUACUAUCCUGCACCUUGUUCACUUUGGUGAUUUUUCAAAUUGGCAAUAAUACCUAAAUAUAUAAUAUAAACACUUAAAGUUCUGUAUUCAAAGAUUCCGGAAGCAAAUAGUACACUAUAAUAAGUUGCUAAUUCUCAUCAAUUCUUGAUAUUUAUAUACUUUUUUCAUAUCUUCGGCGUGCAGGAAAGAACUCUUUUAUCUGGUUUGGACCAACACCAAGGGUGAACAUAACAGAUCCUGAUAUGAUUAGAGAUGUAUUUAACAAAAUGUACGACUUCCAAAAGCCUAAUGCGAAUCCGCUUGGAAAGUUACUAGCUAAUGGCCUUGCAAGUCAUGAGGGAGAACAGUGGAGCAAGCACAGAAAGAUUAUCAACCCUGCAUUCCAUGUAGAAAAAUUGAAGGAAAGUUUCCCUUUACUAGAUAUAGAAUCCAAUUGUGUUUAUCUAGUCCGCAACAUAUAAUUGUUCAAGCAUCACAAUUAGGUUUAUAAGAAAACAUGAUUUGAAUUCUUAAUGCACAUGUGCUUAGUUUAACACCUCUUUGUCUCUUACAAACAGAUCAUGUUACCAAUAUACCUCAAAAGAUGCGAUGAUCUGAUUAGCAAAUGGGAGAAAAUGUUGGCUUCAGAUGGAUCAUGUGAAAUGGAAGUAUGGCCUUUCCUUCAAAAUUUAGCAAGAGAUGUUAUUUCUCGAGCUGCAUUUGGAAGUAGUUAUGAAGAGGGAAAAAGAAUAUUUCAACUUCAAACCGAACAAGCCAAACUUACAAUGUCAAUUAUGACAAAAGUUUACAUCCCUGGAUGGAGGUAAGAUUAAUAUUUAUAUCACAAGUUGAAUUAGAAAAAGCUAUAUUUUGGAUAAAACUAAGCACUAGAUUAUAGUGAUACAGUAAAUGGAAAUUUGGAUCCUCUAAAAUUAAGUUAAAAUAAAGUAAGAAAACCAAAAAAAAAUAUUUCAACGCAUGUCACAUGGUUUGUUAUACUUGUGCUUGUAAUAACAACCAUUGAUUAAUUAAUCAAUGGUUUAUAGUAUUGAAUACUCUAAAGUGAAUUGUUCACUUUGGAAGAGUAAGAUCAAAGAAAUAGCAUUCAAUUCAGAUCAUUUGAAUUACAUAAAAAUUAUGUUUAUUUUGAAGGUUUCUACCAACUACUACACAUAGGAGAAUGAAAGAAAUUGAAAGAGACGUAAAAGCAUCGCUUACAGAUAUAAUUAACAAGAGAGAAAGAGCACUAAAAGCAGGUAAAGCAACUAAGGAUGACUUAUUAGGUAUACUUUUAGAGUCAAAUCAAAAAGAAAUGGAAGAACAAGGCAACAAUAAGAAUGUUGGAAUGAGUCUUGAUGAUGUAAUAGAGGAAUGCAAGCUCUUCUACUUUGCAGGACAAGAGACCACUUCUGUUUUGCUUGUUUGGACAAUGGUGUUGUUGAGUAGGUAACCAGAUUGGCAAGAACGUGCAAGGGAAGAAGUAUUACAAGUAUUUGGCAACAAUAAACCAGAAUUUGACGGGCUAAGUCAUCUUAAGAUCGUAAGUAUUAUGUACUUCCCUUCAUGUUAAACAAUAUAUGCCGUCAUACUUAACAUUGAUGUAACUCUUUUUGAUACAGGUCACUAUGAUUUUGUACGAGGUUCUUAGGUUAUACCCACCAGAAAUCGCGCUUACUCGAAGUGAUCACAAAGAUAUGACACUUGGAAACCUAACAUUACCUGCAGGAGUGCAGGUUUUCUUAUCGAUAAUUUUGGUUCACCAUGACAUAGAACUAUGGGGUGAAGAUGCUAAGGUGUUCAAUCCCGAGAGAUUUUCAGAAGGUGUUUUAAAAGCAACAAAUGGAAGAAAUUCAUUUAUUCCAUUUGAAGGGGGUCCUAGAAUUUGAAUUGGACAAAACUUUUCCAUGUUGGAAGCAAAGAUGGCAAUAGCAAUGAUUUUACAACGUUUCUCAUUUGAACUUUCUCCAUCUUAUGCUCAUGCCCCGGCUACGGUAAUUACGCUUCAGCCACAAUAUGGUGCUCAUAUAAUUCUACGUAAAGUGGAAUUGUAAAAUUUAUAAUUUGCUUAUUCCACUAUUAGAAUGCUUGUAAUGAUGCUUAUAAAAAAAAUAAAAAAUCCUAUGAUGUAAAAUAGAAAGCUCAUAGUAUAAUAAAAGAAUAUUUGUUCUGAGAUAUCAACCCUUUAAGUGGAUCCCUAUACCUACCCUGCAGGAAGCCAUAUUGUUUAUGUACAGGUUGGAAAUUGGCAUGUAUGAUGUAAGUGUUCUUCCCAAACAAAAAGUUGUCUAUGCCAAGUUAAGUUCCACUCCCUUGAAAUAAUGUUUCCCUCCAUCAGUUCUCCCACACCAGCCUCUCGACUGUUCCCUACCCUUCUCAAAACCUACGGAUUAAACCAACCUUGCCCACCAAACAUAUCAAAAUUAACAAUAUUUUUCCACUACCUUGAUGUAUGUCUCGGCCACUCCACAUCUCCACCUCCAUCCACCUCAUCACUCCAAAACCAUAUUUCUCUAUUAGCGCAUCUUUCCAAAGAGCCCCUUCCCGUCCAAUAACAUUCAUCUCCAUUUAGCCAAUAAACUUACAUUAACCACCCGGAUAUCACUCACUCUAAGAUCUCCAUUCUCCUUCCUUUGACACACCGACUUCAAUUUGACCCAACUAAUUUUCCUACCUCCUCCCACACCACUCCAAAAAAACUCUCUUUGGAUCCUAACAAACUUUUUCCACACCGCUACAUGCAUCUUCAAAAAUAAUAAAAAGAAGAUAGGUAUUGAAUUCAAUACGGAAUUAAUAAGAACAACUCUACCUCGAAGACUGAUAUAUUUGUGCCCCCACGAAUUCAACUUUCGGUUUAGAAGAUCCAAUAUUGGUUUUCAUUGUUGUCAAAAUCCUGAUUUAAAUUCUAAAAUCUAGGAUUUUUCGACUUUCUUCGCCUUCAACGACUCAAAUCCAUAGUAGAAUCUCAAAAUAGACAAAAUCCAUCGAUUUUGAUUGCAAUUUUACGAUUUCUUAUAAACUAAGUCAUUUAUUACUAUAUACCAUUUAUAACAGGCUUAAAUGUGAAAAUAGUCCCUGCAAAUAUCUGACAUUUUGGUUUUAGUCCCUGUAAAAGUAUUUUUUUGAUUUUAGUCCCUGUAAAAACAAAAAUUUGGUUUUGGUCCUUGGUAUUUUGUUUUAGUCCUUGUAAAAUUGAUUCAUAUUGGAUUUGGUCCUUGUAAUAUGUAGAAUAUUUGAUUUUAGUCCCUCAAAAUGAGGACUAAAAUGAAUAUUAUAAGCACCAAUUUCAAUAUGAAAUGAUUUUACAAGGAUUAAAACAAAAUAACAAAGACCAAAACCAAAAAUUCUAUAUUUGCAGGGACUAAAACCAAAAAAAUAUUUUUACAGGGACUAAAACCAAAAUGUCAGAUAUUUGCCGGGACCAUUUCCAUAUUUAAGCCUUUAUAACAUAUAUUUAGUAUUAAUUUUUUGGGGUAAAAUCCAUCUAUUUUGAUUGCGAUUUUACAAUUUCCUAUAUCGAUUCUAUAAAAGUCCUUGAGUAAAAUCAUUCGAUUUUGAUUGCGAUUUUAUGAGUCCCGAUUUUUCUAUUGCUUUUCGACCUGAAGUAAUGUCCCGAUUUUGACAACCUUACCGGUUCCCACGUUAACAUACUCUUGCCUUUGCACCCACUGGUAACCAAAAGUACUUAAAAGGAAUACUACCUUGACUACAAUUCAAGAACGUGCACACCAUAUCCAUAAACUCCAACACUACAUUAACCCCUAUCAAACAACUCUUUGAAAAAUUGAUCUUCAACCCGGACGCCAUCUCAAAACCUUUCAAACGAGCUUUUAGAGUCCAAAGAUUGUUCAUUGUUGCCUUCCCAAUACAAAGAGUGUCAUCCGCAUACUGGAAAUGAGACACCUCUACAUUUUCACUAGAAAACUGAAAGUCUUCAAACAUGUUUAGAGAUACUACAUUCUGCAUCAACCCGCUAAAACCUUCCGCCACGAAUAAAAACAAAAAAGGUGCUAGCAGAUCUCCUUGUUUAAGCCCCUUUUCAAUACUAAUUUCGUCUGUUGGACUACCAUUAACAAGAAUUGACAUGCUCCCACCCACACACACCUUCGUCCAAGCCAUUCAUUUUGAACAAAAACCUACUCUCCUCAACAUAUACUCCAAAAAUCCCCAACCCACCGAGUCAUAAGCCUUCUCAAAAUCAACCUUUAGAAUCAAACAUUCUCGGUACAUUUUCUUAGCAUAAUCCACGAAUUCAAUUAGAGUUUAAUGAUUUCGUCGUGGUUUUAAAUUGCGGUUUCGGUCUUGGUCGUUGCAAUUGUGGACAGUAGGUUUCGGAUGCCGUUGCAGAGGCUAUCACAACGACGAUAUUGUGGCCGUAGUUGCGGAUGCCGUCCGAAAUUGUGGUUGUCGCUGCUCUCACCAGGAAUCUAACCAGAUGAUUUCCACCGGAAUGGGCAAACCUCAGUGAUUUUUGUUAAAUCCUAAGAAGGUAUUAUUUUGUAUGCUUUAUGUCUCGGUCAUUAUGUGCCAUCUUCACUCUCAUUUCUAUGCAUAUAAACACAGUGGCUUGAAUUAAUAUUUUUCUAAAGCAUAUAAUAAAGUAUUAAAAAGUUAGGUCAUAAUAUUAAUAGUGCUACUAAUAUGAAAUGUGAAACCAACAAAAUUCUUAGUCAAGGACAUGUGUCGUAACGUCAAAAGAAAAGGACAUGUGUCGUGGACUUUAUAAAGUGCAGCAUAUCAAAUCAAAUCAUACUUCUUUCCUUCUCACCGAAAUCUCUUCUUCUUUUAUCAUCUUCUCCUACUUUCUUUUUUCCACCAAUUAUUACUCUACACAGAAAUGGCUACAACUACAGCAAUAAUUCUCUUCACCUUGAUGACACUUUCUCUCAUAUGGGCAUGGAGAAUUUUGAAUUGGAUAUGGUUGAAGCCAAAAAAGCUAGAAAAAGAGCUCAGAGAACAAGGACUUAAAGGAAAUUCAUACAGACUUUUAGUUGGAGACAUAAAAGAUCUUCUUAAGAUAAGAAAGGAAGCAACAUCUAAACCUAUGAAUCUUUCUGAUGAUAUUGUGCCUCGAGUGUAUUCCUUUGUCCAACAAACUGUUGCAAAACAUGGUAUGUCCCUUUUUAUACAAAC